AGACGGCAGCAAUGCCGGAGUAAAGCUUGCUGUGAGGAGUCAGCAGAGGGCGUAGUACCCUCCAUUUGGAGGCGAAGGCC
rfam:Desulfovibrio sp. An276 An276_contig_45, whole genome shotgun sequence.